rnacentral:tRNA from 1 species
AAGUAUGAAGCAAUAAUUGCAUUUAGUUUCGACCUAAAAAUAUGGUAAAUAUAUACCCUUACUUU